GGGCGCAUAGCUCAACGGCAGAGCGACCGCCUUACACGCGGUAGGUUCUAGGUUCAAAUCCUAGUGCGCCCA
rfam:Parcubacteria (Giovannonibacteria) bacterium GW2011_GWA1_44_25 TW53_C0005, whole genome shotgun sequence.